rnacentral:rRNA from 1 species
CAAAAACAUAGCUGCAUGGCAUUACAUGUAGUGAUUUCUGCUCAAUGACUUAAAUAGCCGCAGUACCUUGACUGUGCAAAGGUAGCGUAAUCAUUUGUCUUUUAAUUGAAGUCUUGUAUCAACGAAUAUAUGAUGGCCCACUGUAACGACGAUAGAUGGUAAAAUUAUUAAGGGUGUGCAAAUGCACCUGUUAUUAAAUAGACGAGAAGACCCUAGAAAUUUUUACAAACGUUUUUGUUGGGGCAACAUAGUAACAAAAAAAUCUACUAUAUGGGCAAGAAAAGUGUGAGAUAGCGAAAAUUACUCUAGGGAUAACAGCAUAAUGUAUAAACGUUUGUGACCUCGAUGUUGGAUUAGGAAGUUAUAGCUUAGAAGGCACCUAACUUUGCUCUGUUC